rnacentral:misc_RNA from 1 species
GAAAUGCGAUAAGUAAUGUGAAUUGCAGAAUUCAGUGAAUCAUCGAAUCUUUGAACGCACAUUGCGCCCGCCAGUAUUCUGGAGGGCAUGCCUGUCCGAGCGUCAUUUCAACCAUCAAGCCCCCGGGCUUGUGUUGGGGACCUGCGGCUGCCCGCAGGCCCUGAAAACCAGUGGCGGGCUCGCUGUCACACCGAGCGUAGUAGCAAUCACCUCGCUCAGGGCGUGCUGCGGGUUCCGGCCGUUAAACAGCCUUACAAAACCCAAGGUUGACCUCGGAUCAGGUAGGAAGACCCGCUGAACUUAAGC